ensembl:lncRNA
GGGUGGGGGAACUGGCUGGUUUAGAUCAGGAGGCUCAUGGUAACAGUUGCUAUGGGGCCUGGUUAAUUCCAGAAAUUUUUGUCUUGUGACCUUGCUCUAAGGCUCCACACCUGUGACCUUGGUCUAAGCCUUCACACCUGUGACCUUGGUGUAAGUUUCCAUGCCUGUGACCUUGGUCUAAGGCUUCACACCUGUGACCUUGGGCUAAGGCUCCACACCUGUGACCUUGGGCUAAGCCUUCACACCUGUGACCUUGGUCUAAGGCUCCACACCUGUGAUCUUGGUACAGGGCUCCACAUGCUGGAUAUGAGGCGGGGGGGAGGGGGAGGGGUUCCAGGAGAAGUCAAGUCAGCCCUUCCCUGGACCAGUGAUCAAGAAAACACCAAGCAGGUGGCAGGCCCUGUGGCCCAGGAUCGACCUGGCUGCUGACCUUGCCAGUCACCCUCGCCAGCCUGGGGAGGCUCCCGCAGCCCCAGGGACUGGCAGGCCGCCCCAGCAUCCACUGUCUCAUCCCCAGGGCUGUGAAAGAAAGACACAGACUGAAGAACGUGAGGAGAGAGGCUGUGUCCUUCACUUCAUGGAUCUGCGGGGCAACGCUGUACUACUGCGCUGAAAUGCUUUGCUGUCUCCUUAAAUGCUGCCUCCAUGACCAUCACAGCUUUCAGACCUGCGAGCAGCCUGCACAGGGCUCUGCCAUGGGCUCAACCUUCUUUAGUACCGGCAACUUGGCCCUUAGUGAGACUCUGAACUUGACCUGGUUUCUGGGCUCCACCUUGCACUUGGAGACCUAGUCUGACACCGGAACUCUCUGUGCCUCAAGCCUCUCAGGGCUUCUGCCCCCCACCCC